rnacentral:snRNA from 1 species
GGCGGGAUCCCUCGCGGGU